UUCACAUCGGAUAGUUAUAAGUAAUUGGGACUUUUAUAAAAGAUAAACGGAUUCAUUGUAUAUAAUCCCUUCAAUUAAUCCCUACUUUUCCUCCAACUGUGCAACCCAUUGAUUGGAUAAUGAUACUUUCCCCCCAUAUGGCUCAAGAUAUGCAUCCACCAUCAGCUUGACGUGGAACAAUAGUGAUGAGAUAUUGUGAACACCAUGGUUAUCAACAUUGGAACAAAUUGGUUGGUCCGACCAGUGAGACAUGCAAUUAAUUGAAAACUGGUCAAAACAUUGUUAACUAAUUUUGUUUAACUAAUUUUGACUACCAAAUUGUUUUGACCUAUUAGAUCAGCUAAUAACGUUGGGUAAUUUUCUUUUAUAAUAUAUUUUAUAUUAUAAAAUUAUUGUUACUUUUAUUUUUUGAAUAAUUGGAUUGGUUUAACUCAACUAGUACUUGAUGACAACGGGUAACAAUCAGAAGAUGAAAAAAAAAGUUUGCAAUUGUUGUUUGUAACCACUCUAUGUUAUUUUGGUUGGGGUUUGACGUGUAUGGUUGUGAUAUAAUUCAAUUUGUUAGAUUUUACAUUUAAUGGUUAAAAAUGAUUGAAAUUUCCUUGUAUGGAUAAUAAAUAAUCUCAUAAUAUGCAAUCCCUUGAAAAAAAAAAUGCUUUUAGAAGUUGUAACGUAUGAAAUUAUAAACACAGCCAAUAUCAACAGAAGAUCAGCUCCUGAUAUUAUUAUUAUCCCUAUGUAGCUCAUCGUAACUUUUAUAAAAUGAUUGUGGUAGAAUUUUAAAAAUGUUUUUUAUUAUGUAAAUAAGUUAUUUAAUAAAAAAUUAGAAUUUUUAUUCUCAAUUUUGUACCCAUAUUUUACUAAAUUGUGUAGGAUUAUUGAAUUUUUAUCCUCAUUUUUGUGCCCAUAUUUUAAUAUAUUGUGUAAGAUUAUUGAAUUUUUAAUUGUUUUUAGUAAAUUUUAUAUUUUUUAAAAAUCACGAUCAACACAUUGUAACACUCGCUAUUCUUGACAGGACAUUCUCAACUUCGAAGGCGUAUCAAGCUAUUUAUUUACAGUGUCACUGAGCAACCUCCAAAAGCACAGCAUGGCAUUGAGUAUUGUAAUUGCAGAUGGUAUAUAAAUUGCAACUAUUUUGGGAAGGUGCAUUUCAGGAACCAGAACACUUGCAGGGAUGAUGAUGCAAUAGAAGAAGAAGGUCACAAGAUGUGCCACGAUCUUCCUUACGAAGAAGAAUGCGUAAAUAACAUGGAAUUUUUUCCAUAUUGACACCUUCUGCACUUGCAAACAAAUUUCACAGAGAAAAGCAUUAGCCAUUCGAAUCCAUAAGCCUAACAAAUAUAAGCAAGUAUCCAAUAGUUUGUGAUACAAGGGAAAAUCUACUCUUACUUGAAUAAAUGCCUCUCUUUCUUGAUUUUUACC